UUCUGAAGGGCUCUUUCCCUUGCUGAACUUGCCACGGCAUCGUCCUGCCUUCUCUGAAGGGAGUCACCUACCAUCACCCUGCAGUUUGCCGGAAGCGCACUCAGUGGGAUGAGAACAAGAUCACAUGCAAUCUCCUAGGCGUUCAGCAGGUCAGGGUUUGCUGUCUAGUUAUGCCUAGUUACACUGACUCGCUUUCUUUCUAAAGAGCUGGACCGUGAGACUGUGGAGAAGGAGGUGCUUCAGGAAGGAGACGGUCACAUGGUGCCGGUCUCUGAGGACAGAAGAGGGGCAAUUAACUCAAAGGUGGUGCCAGGCGUGGAUGACAAGAAGGACACAAAUGCCAUGGAUCCAAAAGAUUUCCGGUCCUACUGCAUAGAAGGCGCCGUGGCGGUCUUGGGCUCCAUGUUGUUUGGGAUGGUUUUCUGUUGUGCAGUCUGUCUGUGGUGGACGAGAAAACGGUCAAAGUGACCCCGCCUGGACAAGAGCAGACCCCGCAACACGUGUGCCUGG